GACGAACGCUGGCGGCGUGCUUAACACAUGCAAGUCGAACGAAGAGCGAUGGAAGCUUGCUUCUAUCAAUCUUAGUGGCGAACGGGUGAGUAACGCGUAAUCAACCUGCCCUUCAGAGGGGGACAACAGUUGGAAACGACUGCUAAUACCGCAUACGAUCUAAUCUCGGCAUCGAGGAUAGAUGAAAGGUGGCCUCUACAUGUAAGCUAUCACUGAAGGAGGGGAUUGCGUCUGAUUAGCUAGUUGGAGGGGUAACGGCCCACCAAGGCGAUGAUCAGUAGCCGGUCUGAGAGGAUGAACGGCCACAUUGGGACUGAGACACGGCCCAGACUCCUACGGGAGGCAGCAGUGGGGAAUAUUCGC
rnacentral:rRNA from 1 species